rnacentral:rRNA from 1 species
UACGGAGGGUGCAAGCGUUAUCCGGAUUCACUGGGUUUAAAGGGCGCGUAGGCGGCUUGCCAAGUCAGGGGUGAAAUCUUUCGGCUUAACCGGAAAAUAGCCUCUGAUACUGGCGAACUAGAGGGAGGUAGGGGUGCGUGGAACUUCUGGUGGAGCGGUGAAAUGCGUAGAUAUCAGAAGGAACGCCGGUGGCGAAAGCGACGCACUGGAUCUCUACUGACGCUGAGGCGCGAAAGCCAGGGGAGCGAACGGG